rnacentral:sRNA from 1 species
CCACUUCAAUCUGUUGCGGACAAAUAAAGUGAAUGUGGGUGUCGAUACCGCCAGCAGUGAGAAUCAUGCCUUCCCCAGCUACCGCCUCAGUACCAGGACCAAUAAUAAUAUCUACAUUGUCUUGAAUAUAGGGAUUUCCAGCUUUACCAAUUUUGAAUAUUUUGCCGUCUUUAAUGCCGAUAUCUGCUUUAACGAUACCCCACCAAUCGAGAAUUAAGGCAUUGGUAAUGACUAAAUCAACCGCACCAUCAGCGUUGGAAAUAGGUGACUGUCCCAUCCCAUCACGG